rnacentral:rRNA from 1 species
AUUGAACGCUGGCGGCAUGCCUUACACAUGCAAGUCGAACGGUAACGCGGGGCAACCUGGCGACGAGUGGCGAACGGGUGAGUAAUAUAUCGGAACGUGCCCAGUAGUGGGGGAUAGCCCGGCGAAAGCCGGAUUAAUACCGCAUACGACCUACGGGUGAAAGCGGGGGAUCGCAAGACCUCGCGCUAUUGGAGCGGCCGAUAUCAGAUUAGGUAGUUGGUGGGGUAAAGGCCUACCAAGCCUGCGAUCUGUAGCCGGUCUGAGAGGACGACCAGACACACUGGGACUGAGACAAGGCCCAGACUACUACGGGAGGCAGCAGUGGGGAAUUUUGGACAAUGGGCGAAAGCCUGAUCCAGCCAUGCCGCGUGCGGGAAGAAGGCCUUCGGGUUGUAAACCGCUUUUGUCAGGGAAGAAACGCUCUGGGCUAAUACCCCGGGGUAAUGACGGUACCUGAAGAAUAAGCACCGGCUAACUACGUGCCAGCCGCCGCCGUAA